rnacentral:rRNA from 1 species
GAUGAACGCUGGCGGCGUGCCUAAUACAUGCAAGUCGAGCGAACAGACGGGGAGCUUGCUCCUCUGACGUUAGCGGCGGACGGGUGAGUAACACGUGGAUAACCUACCUAUAAGACUGGGAUAACUUCGGGAAACCGGAGCUAAUACCGGAUAAUAUAUUGAACCGCAUGGUUCAAUAGUGAAAGACGGUUUUGCUGUCACUUAUAGAUGGAUCCGCGCCGCAUUAGCUAGUUGGUAAGGUAACGGCUUACCAAGGCGACGAUGCGUAGCCGACCUGAGAGGGUGAUCGGCCACACUGGAACUGAGACACGGUCCAGACUCCUACGGGAGGCAGCAGUAGGGAAUCUUCCGCAAUGGGCGAAAGCCUGACGGAGCAACGCCGCGUGAGUGAUGAAGGUCUUCGGAUCGUAAAACUCUGUUAUUAGGGAAGAACAAAUGUGUAAGUAACUAUGCACGUCUUGACGGUACCUAAUCAGAAAGCCCCGGCUAACUACGUG